rnacentral:rRNA from 1 species
GUGAUCGCCACACUGGGACUGAGCCCCGGCCCAGACUCCUACGGAGGCAGCAGUAGGGAUCUUCCGCAAGGACGAAAGUCUGACGGAGCAACGCCGCGUGAGUGAUGAAGGUUUUCGGAUCGUAAAGCUCUGUUGUUAGGGAAGAACAAGUGCCGUUCAAAUAGGGCGGCACCUUGACGGUACCUAACCAGAAAGCCACGGCUAACUACGUGCCAGCAGCCGCGGUAAUACGUAGGUGGCAAGCGUUGUCCGGAAUUAUUGGGCGUAAAGGGCUCGCAGGCGGUUUCUUAAGUCUGAUGUGAAAGCCCCCGGCUCAACCGGGGAGGGUCAUUGGAAACUGGGGAACUUGAGUGCAGAAGAGGAGAGUGGAAUUCCACGUGUAGCGGUGAAAUGCGUAGAGAUGUGGAGGAACACCAGUGGCGAAGGCGACUCUCUGGUCUGUAACUGACGCUGAGGAGCGAAAGCGUGGGGAGCGAACAGGAUUAGAUACCCUGGUAGUCCACGCCGUAAACGAUGAGUGCUAAGUGUUAGGGGGUUUCCGCCCCUUAGUGCUGCAGCUAACGCAUUAAGCACUCCGCCUGGGGAGUACGGUCGCAAGACUGAAACUCAAAGGAAUUGACGGGGGCCCGCACAAGCGGUGGAGCAUGUGGUUUAAUUCGAAGCAACGCGAAGAACCUUACCAGGUCUUGACAUCCUCUGACAAUCCUAGAGAUAGGACGUCCCCUUCGGGGGCAGAGUGACAGGUGGUGCAUGGUUGUCGUCAGCUCGUGUCGUGAGAUGUUGGGUUAAGUCCCGCAACGAGCGCAACCCUUGAUCUUAGUUGCCAGCAUUCAGUUGGGCACUCUAAGGUGACUGCCGGUGACAAACCGGAGGAAGGUGGGGAUGACGUCAAAUCAUCAUGCCCCUUAUGACCUGGGCUACACACGUGCUACAAUGGACAGAACAAAGGGCAGCGAAACCGCGAGGUUAAGCCAAUCCCACAAAUCUGUUCUCAGUUCGGAUCGCAGUCUGCAACUCGACUGCGUGAAGCUGGAAUCGCUAGUAAUCGCGAUCAGCAUGCCGACCGAA